CCUACGGGUGGCAGCAGUGAGGAAUAUUGGUCAAUGGACGAGAGUCUGAACCAGCCAAGUAGCGUGAAGGAUGACUGCCCUAUGGGUUGUAAACUUCUUUUAUAUGGGAAUAAAAUGUUCCACGUGUGGGAGUUUGUAUGUACCAUAUGAAUAAGGAUCGGCUAAAUCCGUGCCAGCAGCCGCGGUAAUACGGAGGGUCCGAGCGUUCGCCGGAUUUAUUGGGUUUAAAGGGAGCGUAGGUGGAGUGUUAAGUCAGUUGUGAAAGUUUGCGGCUCAAACGUAAAAUUGCAGUUGAAACUGGCAGUCUUGAGUACAGUAGAGGUGGGCGGAAUGCGUGGUGUAGCGGUGAAAUGCUUAGAUAUCACGAAGAACUCCGAUUGCGAAGGCAGCUCACUGGACUGCAACUGACACUGAGGCUCGAAAGUGUGGGUAUCAAACAGGAUUAGAUACCCUGGUAGUC
rnacentral:rRNA from 1 species